CUAGUAACGGCGAGUGAAGCGGCAACAGCUCAAAUUUGAAAGCUAGCCUUCGGGUUCGCAUUGUAAUUUGUAGAGGAUGAUUUGGGGAAGCCGCCUGUCUAAGUUCCUUGGAACAGGACGUCAUAGAGGGUGAGAAUCCCGUAUGUGACAGGAAAUGGCACCCUAUGUAAAUCUCCUUCGACGAGUCGAGUUGUUUGGGAAUGCAGCUCUAAAUGGGAGGUAAAUUUCUUCUAAAGCUAAAUAUUGGCGAGAGACCGAUAGCGCACAAGUAGAGUGAUCGAAAGAUGAAAAGCACUUUGGAAAGAGAGUUAAAAAGCACGUGAAAUUGUUGAAAGGGAAGCGCUUGCAAUCAGACUUGUUUAAACUGUUCGGCCGGUCUUCUGACCGGUUUACUCAGUUUGGACAGGCCAGCAUCAGUUUCGGCGGCCGGAUAAAGGCUCUGGGAAUGUGGCCUCCACUUCGGUGGAGGUGUUAUAGCCCAGGGUGUAAUACGGCCAGCCGGGACUGAGGUCCGCGCU
rnacentral:rRNA from 1 species